AGUGAACGCUGGCGGUAGGCCUAACACAUGCAAGUCGAACGGCAGCACAGUAAGAGCUUGCUCUUACGGGUGGCGAGUGGCGGACGGGUGAGGAAUACAUCGGAAUCUACUUUUUCGUGGGGGAUAACGUAGGGAAACUUACGCUAAUACCGCAUACGACCUACGGGUGAAGGCAGGGGAUCUUCGGACCUUGCGCGAUUGAAUGAGCCGAUGUCGGAUUAGCUAGUUGGCGGGGUAAAGGCCCACCAAGGCGACGAUCCGUAGCUGGUCUGAGAGGAUGAUCAGCCACACUGGAACUGAGACACGGUCCAGACUCCUACGGGAGGCAGCAGUGGGGAAUAUUGGACAAUGGGCGCAAGCCCGAUCCAGCCAUACCGCGUGGGUGAACAAGGCCUUCGGGUUGUAAAGCCCUUUUGUUGGGAAAGAAAAGCAGCAGGUUAAUACCCCGCUGUUCUGACGGUACCCAAAGAAUAAGCACCGGCUAACUUCGUG
rnacentral:rRNA from 1 species